rnacentral:rRNA from 1 species
GAUGAACGCUGGCGGCGUGCCUAAUACAUGCAAGUCGAGCGAACGGACGAGAAGCUUGCUUCUCUGAUGUUAGCGGCGGACGGGUGAGUAACACGUGGAUAACCUACCUAUAAGACUGGGAUAACUUCGGGAAACCGGAGCUAAUACCGGAUGAUAUUUUGAACCGCAUGGUUCAAAAGUGAAAGACGGUCUUGCUGUCACUUAUAGAUGGAUCCGCGCUGCAUUAGCUAGUUGGUAAGGUAACGGCUUACCAAGGCAACGAUGCAUAGCCGACCUGAGAGGGUGAUCGGCCACACUGGAACUGAGACACGGUCCAGAGUCCUACGGGAGGCAGCAGUAGGGAAUCUUCCGCAAUGGGCGAAAGCCUGACGGAGCAACGCCGCGUGAGUGAUGAAGGUCUUCGGAUCGUAAAACUCUGUUAUUAGGGAAGAACAGAUGUGUAAGUAACUGUGCACAUCUUGACGGUACCUAAUCAGAAAGCCACGGCUAACUACGUG